GACCGGGAGCGGGACGGGGACGGGGAGAGGGAACAGAGACAGCGACAGCCCAGUCCGCGCGUGUCGCGAGCCCUCCGCGGGCACCGGCGGGGCCGCAGGGCGGAGGGUGUCAGCUCGCCCAGCGCCCCGUUGCCGCGGGGCCUUCGGGCGCUCCGGGCUCAGGAGAGGAGAGCUGAGCCCAGCGGGCAGCGAGCCGGCGGUGCCCCCGGGCCCCGGCACAGGAGAGGCAGCAGCGUCCCCAGGGAGGGAGCACGGCUGCCCGGAUCCCCCGACACACACAGGGCUGGGCCACUGCUGGAAACGCAGGCGAGCCCGGUGGGAAGAAAUGCUGGUGUCUGACUCCAGAAGGCUGAAUGAUUUCUUUACUAUAACUCUGCUAUAAUACAUUAAUAUACUAUUUACAGGAGAUAUUAAAACUACAAACCUACUUUUCUAACUGCCAUAUCUAACCAACUCACAACUCGUGCCCCUCUCUGAGAGUGCAGCCACAGAGAGAAGAAGGUGCCAGCCACGUGCCAGCUCCAGGACACCUCAGCGUUGGCCGGCGGCUCUCGGGCUCCAGCAGGAGCAGACUGGCAGGUCCCGAGCCCCUUUCUGGCAGAGCACCGAGCAGUGUCGCCGUGCAUUCUGUGCCUGCUGCUCCCCCCGGCCUCGCUUUCCGUUGGAACAGCGUGAGAGCUUUCCAGAGCAUUGCUCAGGAGGAGAUGGAGGAACGUGAGCAAAUCCGGGCAGAGCCGAGUGAAACACGACAGGACUGAGCAGGGACUGGAGCAAGGAGGGGACAACAGUGCUGCUGAGGAGCAGUGCAGCUCUGCCAGACAGGGACUGGGGACUUCUUGCCACAAGCUGUUCCACUGGAACCACCCCAUCCUGCCGGUCCCUUUGCGAGAUGGGGGGGCUGAGGAACGUUUCCUGCGGGAGAUGUUCCCACUGGAUAGGUGUGAGGUCACUGGCAAGGCAGAGAAGGCCUUGGCUUUGGGUUUUGUCACCGCUCAGCUGUGCUUGGGGUGUUUGUGGCAACUUUCCAGAAUUCCCUCAAACCUCCGAACUCCAAAGCUUGGACAUUUCAUACCAUAAUUACCACUUCAGCUGCAGCCAGUCCCAUAAUUGCAGGAGAAUUUCACCUUCCAUUCCCUGGGGCUGCAGGAAGGUUUCUUGUCCGGCACCGACUGACCCACGACUGCCCUGGGGACUCUGACAGGGCAUGGCACGGCCUGUGUGAGGUGGGUGACAGCAAAGCAGCUGACAAACAGUGCAGACGUUGCCACAGGCACAGCUGGACCUCCCGAGUGGUGCUGGAGAGCGGAGUGAGGAGAGGCCAGACCCCGCAGGCAGCGGGACGGGCACAGCUCCUCAGCAGCUGUGUCAGGAGCACACAGUGCUCAGAGAAUACCGAGGUACAGCUGUCAGGAGCGCUGAGUUACACACGGAUCUUGAAAAGAAACACGUGGUAGUGAUGCCUCAGGUUUUAGCUUUUA